rnacentral:misc_RNA from 1 species
GAUGAAGAAGCAGUGAAAUGCGAUAAGUAAUGUGAAUUGCAGAAUUCAGUGAAUCAUCGAGUCUUUGAACGCACAUUGCGCCCCCUGGUAUUCCGGGGGGCAUGCCUGUCCGAGCGUCAUUGCUGCCCUCAAGCACGGCUUGUGUGUUGGGCCUCCGUCCUCCUCCCGGGGGACGGGCCCGAAAGGCAGCGGCGGCACCGCGUCCGGUCCUCGAGCGUAUGGGGCUUCGUCACCCGCUCUUGUAGGCCCGGCCGGCGCUUGCCGACACAUCAAUCUUUUUUCCAGGUUGACCUCGGAUCAGGUAGGGAUACCCGCUGAACUUAAGCAUAUCAAUAAGCGGAGGA